rnacentral:misc_RNA from 1 species
GAUGAAGAACGCAGCGAAAUGCGAUACGUAAUGUGAAUUGCAGAAUUCAGUGAAUCAUCGAGUCUUUGAACGCACAUUGCGCCCCCUGGUAUUCCGGGGGGCAUGCCUGUCCGAGCGUCAUUGCUGCCCUCAAGCACGGCUUGUGUGUUGGGCCUCCGUCCUCCUCCCGGGGGACGGGCCCGAAAGGCAGCGGCGGCACCGCGUCCGGUCCUCGAGCGUAUGGAGCUUCGUCACCCGCUCUUGUAGGCCCGGCCGGCGCUUGCCGACACAUCAAUCUUUUUUCCAGGUUGACCUCGGAUCAGGUAGGGAUACCCGCUGAACUUAAGCAUAUCAAUAAGCGGAGGA